UCAACGUAAUCGUUAGUGAUAGGUGUUGUUUCCUGAUUUGAUAUGUGAAAUCUACAGAUAGGUAAUUAUAUUGUUUAUCACUUGAUUUACUAUAAAUGUGGGCACAGAAUACAACAUAGAACAGUAUCCCCAUUGUAUACAAAUCUACAAUCAACAGGAUGUUUUCAUUAUUGGUAAUAACCCUGGCCAUGGUUCUGGCUCAAAAUACUGAAGCUCAGACGAAUAUGAUUUCGGCUGCGCAAUUAGCUUUGGCUCUUGACAUAGAGACAGACCUUGCAUUGGAGAUUAUAGCAGACUUUGAUGCUGACGGUGACGGUAUGUUGUCUGUUAAUGAACAAAAUGUUAGUUUUGUGGCAAUGGUUAACGCUAUAAAUGAGGCUCAGAGCAAUGGCAUAGAAGUUAAUCUUUUGGGAAUACAAGCAAUGAUUGAUCUUGAAAACCUCCUGAACCUAAACCUUAAUGGUGCUCUAAAUCUUGGUGGAUCUGGAGGUCUUAAUCUGGGUGGCAUGCUGGGUGGUGUUGGUGGAAUAACAGGUGGACUUACCGGGGGACUAACUGGUGGACUAACUGGUGGACUAACUAGUGGACUUCUAGGCAAGAAAUAAGCAUACGUAUAAAAUGAAUGAUACGUUAAUAAAAUAAUACGCAAAUUAUAAA